UUUUUUUGUGUAUCACUCAAUUACACUUACACAAAUUUGAUCAAAAUCUUGAUCUAUUUUUUUCCUCUAGCCAUGUCAAGUAGUGAUAUUAGGGGUAAAGAUUUGGCCGAGGGAUCGUCAAGAUCCCCCAGUCGUGAUCAACCACCUAGUCGAUACGAGUCUCAGAAACGUCGAGAUUGGAACACUUUCAACCACUACUUGAAGAAUCAAAGACCACCAAUCCCCCUUCCUCAUUGCCAUAGCAACCACAUCCUAGAGUUCCUCCGGUACCUUGACCAAUUUGGGAAAACAAAGGUUCACUUACUGGGUUGUAUGUUCUACGGUCAACCUGACCCACCAGCUCCCUGCACUUGUCCAUUGAGACAAGCCUGGGGAAGCCUGGAUGCACUCAUAGGCAGGCUUAGGGCUGCCUAUGAAGAGAACGGUGGGUCAAGUGAGACGAACCCAUUCGCGACCGUUGGGAUUCGAGUGUAUUUGAGGGAAGUGAAGGAAUGUCAAGCCAAGGCACGUGGCAUUGCUUAUAAGAAGAAACAAAAGAAGUUGGCUAAUAGUCCAAGUAAGGGAGAUCAUGAUGAUGCAAGUUCUCCAGGAUUCCUCACAUUUUCUUGAUUAUAAAAUGGUAAAAUCUUUUACAAUGCUUUUACCACUUCACUUAAACUGCUAAUUUGUCAUUUUGAUCGCUUAUCUUAUUUUCUUUUUAUAAUAUCUAUGAGAAGUAAGAUAUGUUUAGAUAUAUAUAGGUGUUUUUUGUAAUCUAAAAAUUAAAGCAGAUAACUUACGCGCUAUACAUGACCAUGUUAAAGUAUAAUAACAUGCAAAUAUUUUUCAUCGAUCGACCAAAUGUAUAACUUUAAAAAAUAUAAUAAAAGAAGAGGCUAAUUACAAUGUAUAAGGAAAAAGGAGCAGCUAAGAAAGCAACUCAUGUGGCCCAUUAUUUCUUGUCAUCAUCUCAGUUGGUCCAUUGAUGUGAUAUAAACAAUUUAUCAUCCCUCCAAUUUUUCACCUUAUUUUUUCCUUCAACUUUUUUUGUGUAUCACUCAAUUACACUUACACAAAUUUGAUCAAAAUCUUGAUCUAUUUUUUUCCUCUAGCCAUGUCAAGUAGUGAUAUUAGGGGUAAAGAUUUGGCCGAGGGAUCGUCAAGAUCCCCCAGUCGUGAUCAACCACCUAGUCGAUACGAGUCUCAGAAACGUCGAGAUUGGAACACUUUCAACCACUACUUGAAGAAUCAAAGACCACCAAUCCCCCUUCCUCAUUGCCAUAGCAACCACAUCCUAGAGUUCCUCCGGUACCUUGACCAAUUUGGGAAAACAAAGGUUCACUUACUGGGUUGUAUGUUCUACGGUCAACCUGACCCACCAGCUCCCUGCACUUGUCCAUUGAGACAAGCCUGGGGAAGCCUGGAUGCACUCAUAGGCAGGCUUAGGGCUGCCUAUGAAGAGAACGGUGGGUCAAGUGAGACGAACCCAUUCGCGACCGUUGGGAUUCGAGUGUAUUU
rnacentral:lncRNA from 1 species